UAUUGCACUCGUCCCGGCCUA
rnacentral:miRNA from 2 species